ACGGCCAGAAUCCGUUGAAAACCGGUUCCCGUAUGAUCAUUGAAGUUAAGCAAUGUCGAGCCUGGUCAGUAACUAGAUGAGUGAGCGCUUGAGAAUACCAGGUGUUGUCAG